AUUCUUUUUGCUUCCCUCGCCCUUCAUCUUUGCUCUGUCUUCCAUAUACCCUUUCAAUAUCCUCUUCUCAGAUCAAAAAAAAAGGAAAAGAAACUGUCUGCCUUCUCCUAGUCGUCUCUUUCCAUCUCGGAACCCCAACAGCACCAGCGUCAGAUACCCUCAUCUCCUCUCAUUUUCUUUCGUCUCACACUCGCUCGCGCAGACCCUCACAAUCUCUCUCUCUCACUCUCGCUCUCGCUCUCGCGUUACCCUCACAGUCUGUCUGUAGCAGCGGCAGCGACUUCUCACCGGUUCUCGGUCCGACAUCCAGGUAUCUCUCCUCUGCUGUUCUCUCCUCUUUUUCUCUUCUUUUGCCUUCAUUGGAAUCAAAUCCUCUUCAUUGGAACCCUAGAAAGUGGUGCAGAGAUUGGAGAUUGAGAGAGAGGGGGAUUGGAACCCUAGUUUUAAAUCUAUACAAAACUUAAUAUUUGCAUAUUUAUGGCUUAAAUUUUAAAUACUGAGAGAUGAGAAUUAUCUAUUUCAAUACUUAAUUGAAUGUAUUUUUAUGGACUCUGGUUUUAUUAUAUGGAUUUAAGUUAUAUAAAAAACUAGAGUCCUUCAGAUUCUAAGGAGAAGACAUGGCAUCUUAUGCUAGUGUUAGGCAAGUCCUCCAGCCCAAAUGUACUAAAUAUUUCCAAUUUCAAUUGAGCCCAUCUUGGGUUGUUCCUUGCUUACUUGUAUUCAAGACCAAGUACAUCAGUCGCUUCUCUGGGCUACAUGAAUUUUCCGGCCACUGGAAUCUGACAGCUGCCUUAAAGGCAACUUUAGGAAAUGGUACCCAGGAAUAUGAGGAUGGAGUGUCUUUUGGGGACAAUGAAAUUGCCAUUGGACACUAACAUUCCUAGAUUUGAAAGCUUGCUAUUCCAGGUACUUGUUACUUUGUCCAAUUUGAGAAUUUUUUAGUAUUUCCUAAAAAAGGUUUUUCUGAAAAUUUUCUAAAAAACAUUUUUUGGAAACAGUGCGCUAAACAAGUUUUCCAUGAUUUUCAAAAAUUGAAAACAGAAAACAAAAAUUCAACCAAACAAUUGGAUUAGAAUUUUAUCUCUGUAGUUGUUCACAGCUUUUCUACUAUGAGAGAAGAGAAUCUCUGUUGGAGGGCCUUGUGAAUCGGUCCCCAUUGUUGCUCCCUGCUUGUCCUCAUGCGGUGAGAAAGAAAUUACUGAGAGGGAGAAGCGAGAAAAGGAGCUUGGUGGUUAAGGACGUGGCGAGGUAAAUUAAAGUUAUAAAUAUAUGACACUAUAUAUGCGAAUCAUCGAGUUUUUUGUUCCUUUGUAGGUGAUUUACAAGGAAAGGUGCCAUGAGAUGGAUUUAGUGGUGGACAGAGCUCAAUCGGAUGACUUGCUAGUGAGAGAAGUGGACACCAUAGUCGAGCAUGGUCUUGACUUUGUUGAUGAGGGGAUAUGGUUAUUACCUGUGAUUGUUACUUUGUAGACAAAAGAGGAUCAAAUAAAUGGAGAAAUUCUUAUGGAGAAGGCAAAAGAGGGUCAAAUGAAUGGGGCAGUUGUUAUAGAGGAGAUAAUCAUCAAUCUCUCAUUUUUUUAAAAUCUCUCUACAAUUCUAAUCUUGAUUUUCCCUUUGAUAUGUACCUCUAAUGAUUUAAUUUCAAUAUUCUAAUGUCAAAUAAAUGGGCAAUUGUUAUAGAGGAGCUUGUUUUAUAAUUUCAAUCAAGGAAAUAGUUUUGGAUAAAGCAAACUAGAGAAAACAGAUUAAUGUAGGUGACCCCAAGUAAGUAAUUAAGGCUUGUUUAGUUUGGUCAAUGAAUAAGAUUUUUAAUGCAUUUUUAUGCUA